UUUCUCGUCCUCAAAGCCGAAUGUGAAGUCCCAAGUUUUUCCUCUCUAAUAUCUCAAUUAAAUCAUCCUCUAUCCCGCAAAUUACAUAACCAUCACAAAGAAAGUCUUUAAUGUUUUUGCACAGUACGUAGUUUUCAUUAAGGAUAUGUAAUCUAGUUUAACCAAUUCAAACUAAACCGAAACCAUACCCAAAAAUGAAAAAUAUGUACUCAAUUGUGGUAUCUGUAU